AUGUGUGUCAACAUCUAAUAUUAAUUUUAUCAAGAAUUUUAGGUGACCACGUGAUGUUUCUAGGACAAUCACUAGUACAGGUAGCUUCCCUAGUUAAUUUUUUGUCCACGGUGCUUCCACCUACCGGAAAAGACUCAACUGGUGUGUUUGAUAGACCUCUAGAAGAGUGUUAUGACUACAUUGUAGUGGGAGCAGGGUCGGCAGGAGGAAUCGUUGCUACACGUUUGUCUGAAGGAUCUGAUAAAAUCCUACUAUUAGAGGCUGGUGGGUCAGACAUAGAUGACGACCUGACAAAGAUACCAUUAUUAUGGAGUGCUUUUUCGAAUAGCAAUCUAGACUGGAAAUUCAAGACCAUACCGCAGAUGCAUUCUCACUUUGCAAAUAAAGAUCAGGUAAGCAACUGGCCUCGAGGAAAAUGUUUAGGCGGAACUGGAAAAAUAAAUGCAAUGGCUCUUAUCCGCGGAAAUCCCAAAGAUUUUGCCACAUGGACGAAAGAGGGCGCUGUCGGAUGGAGCUACAGU